UAUAAGUUGUUUUAGAAGAUUUCUUAACUGAAGGCCAGGCUGAAGAAAAGAUGGAUAUCAUGUUUAGGGCUCUGCUUUUUUAAUCGACUUUUCUCCUGUGAUAUUAGAGCAAAAUAGACAACCAGAAAACUGUAGUUACAAUGAUCUUUCCUAUUGUUUCUCGAGAUUCCAUCUUUCAACAUCAGUGAAUGGUUUCCUAUUCUGAGAGAAAGAAAGACAGACAAAACAGACAGACCAAAAGAGAAAGACCAUCCCUUAUUAAUUUUUCCACAAUGGUGCCAAUCUCCACAACCAGUAGCUUCCUAUCUGACAGAUGGAAUAAGCUUCCUUGUGGUGGGCCAAAUAUGUUUGGAUAGACCAUUGCAGACAACAAGCUCAGUUUUGGCAAGCAGGAUAACUUUCCGAAAACCACAGAGUGAGAGAAAUUAGAUGUGGCAGAAGAAGACAACAAAAGAAAUGUGGAGUGUGAAAAUAAGCCAGAUCAAUCCAUUGACUGCAGAGGAGGAAAAAA